UUAUUUUUUUUUGUGGAAAUAAAAUUUCCCUAAAAAGCAAAGUCUAUUAAGUGCUGCUGCGUGUGUUUGUGUGUUAGUUGCUCAGUCAUGUCUGACUCCUUGCAUCGCCAUGGACUGUAGCCAGCCAGGCUCCUCUGUCCAUGGAAUUCUCCCGGCAAGAAUACUGGAGUGGGUAGCCAUUCCCUUCUCCAGGGGAUCUUCCAGACCCAGAUGGAGCAUUUACUGCCUCAACCAUGAUUCCAGGUAUCCUCACCAGGCAAAGUCCUUAGGGGAAAUAAACUGCAUGAUUAUGGCAUCACCAGUAAUUUGUUCUUUGAGAAUGGUGCCCUUGGAGCUGUGUAAUACUGCAACUUUGCACUGUAUGGAUUGAAGAUGGGUAUGGCCAAUAGCAGAUGCUGAGUUGGCUUUUAGAUGAUCCUGCCCUCUGUAAUGGCUGAUCAUUGUGGCUGCAGGUAUACUGUGAGCAAGUCAACACAGGGGAGGUCAGAGUCAGUGAUUUUUUGCAUGAGCCUUUUAAGAACAGAGUCUCGGCUACCUACAAACGUCUGCCUCUCUGGGUGGUAAGUUUUGCUGAUUCUCAAAGCCAGUUAUUGGAGCUCAUCCUCCUGGUGCCAAACCCCAGCCCUGGGGAGUGCUUAGUAUGGGGCUUGAAUUGCUUGCUCCUUAAGGGAGUACUGGGAGUUUGUGAUAUCCCUUUUGCUUGUGAGUCCUCUGUUGGGGGGUGUGAAAACUGACUAGGUUGCAUCUCUGCCCCUCCUCCUCAUCUCAAUGUGUUUUUUCCUUAAUAUUCUUGAUUGUGGAAGGGCUGUUAAGAAUUGUCCUGAGUGUAGUGGUAGUUUUGCCCUGUCUGUGGGAGAUAGUUAGUUCAAGAUCUUUUCAUUCUGCCAACUUCACCCCAUGCCUCCACAAGAGACACAUUAUUUUAGACUGCAAAUCAAGUCUCAAAUAUUUUAAAUGAAUGAAAACAGAGUAUCUUAUCAGACUACAAUGCAGUUAAGCUAGAAACUAGUCAGCAUGAUAACCAUAAGAUUUUUACGUAUUUGGAAUUAAAGGAGCAUACUUCCAAGUAACCAAUGAGUCAAAGGAAAAACUAAAAUAAAAACUGGAAAAUGUAUAAAUAAAUGAUUGCAAAAACACUACACAUCCAAACUUGUGAUAUACAUAUAUAUAUGUAUGAAAAGUGAAAGAACGUGUUAGUCAUUCAGUCGUGUCUGACUCUGUGAUCCCAUGGACUGUAACCCUCCAGACACCUCUGUCCCUGGGAUUUACCAGGCAAGAAUACUAGAAGGGGUAGCCGUUCCCUUCUCUAGGGUAUCUUCCCCACCCAGGGAUUGAACCCAGAUCUCCUGCAUUACAGGCAGAUUUUUUACCAUCUGAG
ensembl:lncRNA